rnacentral:lncRNA from 1 species
ACAUCUUUUUCAUCUUCCACGGAAUAUCGAAAUUGAUACUUCGGUGAUAGUUCAUACUCAUCAAGUAAUUCACAUAAUUACAUAUUAUUCAACAAUAACCACAAAGCAUAAUAUUUCAUGAUAAUAAUCAGCAUCAUAUCAUAUAAACAACAUUAAAUUUCUUAAAAUGACAAUUAUGUUACUACAUUUACACAUGAACUUACCUCGUAUGCGAAAAUGGCUACUUUUAC